AAAAUAACCAUUUCAGAACACAUUCUUCCUAUAAAAAAUGGAACUCAAUAAAGGUCUUAACUUACCGACCCAUUUAAACUUAAGAGUAGAAAAAUCUCUAAUCCACAACCAAAAAUUUAACUUUUCAUGUGAUCAUAGGCAAAGAAUCAAAUAGUUAAAUGGUAAAAUUAAAAAUCAUAUAGAAUAGAGAAGAAAACUAAACAGAAAAAUCUUCCUCUGCACAGUGAUCAGAAUAAGUCAUGAUCAACUAUUACGAUUCAACU
rnacentral:lncRNA from 1 species